CACACGCACACACGCCCGGGCGCCCCGCGGCUGACAAAAACCCGGCGGGGGCUGCACCCCGGCGGGACUGGGGUCGUUGGCGAAGGAGGGGGCGGGCUGGGCUGGGCUGCGGCGCUCUCCGAAGUGUCCACCCGAGGACAGGGUGAAGGGGACACGGCGGGUCGGGGGAGGGGCGGCUGCCACUGUUGCAUUCCAGCGGGACUACUUGCCGCCCUUCGCCCCUCCGCCGCCUGCGAUGCGGCCUGCGGAGCAACACCGGACCGCGAGGGACGGGACUAGUUUCUGCCACUGAGCAGCAGCGGCGGCACAAAGGCGGCGGGCGCUCCUCCGCCAGGGUUGCAAGAAAACCGUUGUGACUCAACAGCAACACCUGCCCAAGGCCAGGUCUACAUUACAAAAUGUUCUUGACUCUCAGCCGGAAGAAACAGCCUCCUCUGUUACUGUACUGUCAGCUGGGAGGAUUAGCAAACUGGAGCAAGAUCCACGUGGACAGUGGAGGGGAAGGACUUCCCAUGCAAAAAUAUACCUAAACAGUAGAUAACCUGCAUCAAACUCAUGUUGUCACCAUCAGAUUUUGCAGGAGCAGACAGAAGGAUCACACCUUUAUAUAUAUUUUCAUCACUUAAUUGGAAUUAAAGAAGAAAAAGAUGUUCAUGGGGGGUUUUUCCCUUA